GCCGAUGUAGCUCAGUGGUAGAGCACUUCCUUGGUAAGGAAGAGGUCAUGGGUUCAAGUCCCAUCAUUGGCU
rnacentral:tRNA from 3 species